UAACAGUGGGCUACGUUUUUCUUAACAGCCUUCAAAAUAGGCAGAGACAUGAUUCUUUCGCUGAACCUCCUCCUGUUUUUCACAGCUCUGUCAGGCUGCCACUCAGAGGUUCAACUGGUGGAGACUGGAGGGGAUAUCGUAGCACCUGGGGGCUCCCUCCGCCUCUCCUGCAAGGCUUCAGGAUUCACCUUUACCAGCUACAACAUGCACUGGAUCCGUCAGGCUCCAGGGAAAGGACUGGAGUGGGUGGCUGGAGUAAACCCUUCAGGAAGUAGCCAAUGGUAUAAUCCCAAAGUUCAGGGACGCUUCACCGUCUCCAGAGACAAUUCUCAAACUUCAGCCUAUCUGCAAAUGAACGGCUUGAAACCUGAGGACUCUGCCUUGUAUUACUGUGCAAGAGACACAGUGACAGCUUCUGGCUUCCUGCUGGUGCUAAAACCUCAGAGGUCCCUUCAUAGCCCAGGCUGGAAACAAACAGCCUACCUCUACAGCUGGAAGCGCUGUGCCAGAAAAGGACACAUUGUCAUAGACACAGGCAGAGAUUAA